rnacentral:lncRNA from 1 species
UAGGAUCACACCAAAAGAAUUCUCUCCAAAAGUCUCAUAAUCUAAGAUUUGAUUUUGUACUCCAACAUAUGAAAAAAUCAAAUCUUAGGACAAGCAUACCUCACUUGCUAUUUUUCUCACCUCUCUUCUUUCUAUCUUUUCCACUUAAUUUUUUCUUGUCUUUUCUUUUGAUUUUUUAUAGAUUUUUUUUCUCCCUUAUCACAUGCCAAGAUCUUUGAAUUUUUAUCAAUUCUCAACCCUUAUCCCAUAAGAGGCACCCCAUUUAAAUAGAAAAUGAAGAGGUGUCAAGGAGACCCAAGGGGUGCCAACUCUUGACACUCCACUUCCCUCACAUAGAAAAAUUGUUUCUCUG